rnacentral:rRNA from 1 species
AGAAUCAACGCUGGCGGCGUGCCUAACACAUGCAAGUCGAACGAGAAAGUGGUAGCAAUACCAUGAGUAAAGUGGCGCACGGGUGAGUAACACGUGACUAACCUACCCUGGAGUGGGGGAUAACUGGGAGAAAUCCUAGCUAAUACCGCAUAAUACCUACGGGUCAAAGGAGCAAUUCGCUUCAGGAGGGGGUCGCGGCCGAUUAGUUAGUUGGCGGGGUAAUGGCCCACCAAGACGAUGAUCGGUAUCCGGCCUGAGAGGGCGCACGGACACACUGGAACUGAAACACGGUCCAGACUCCUACGGGAGGCAGCAGUGGGGAAUUUUGCGCAAUGGGGGAAACCCUGACGCAGCAACGCCGCGUGGAGGAUGAAGUCCUUCGGGACGUAAACUCCUUUCGAUCGGGACGAUUAUGACGGUACCGGAAGAAGAAGCCCCGGCUACUUCGCGCCAGCAGCCGC